rnacentral:rRNA from 1 species
UACGUAGGUGGCAAGCGUUGUCCGGAUUUACUGGGCGUAAAGAGCGCGCAGGCGGCUGGUCAAGUCCGAUGUGAAAUCUCCCGGCUUAACUGGGAAACUGCAUCGGAAACUGAUCGGCUUGAAGGUGGGAGAGGGUAGUGGAAUUCCCGGUGUAGUGGUGAAAUGCGUAGAGAUCGGGAAGAACACCAGUGGCGAAGGCGACUACCUGGCCUGUUCUUGACGCUGAGGCGCGAAAGCUAGGGGAGCAAACGGG